AUAUGUAUAUAUGUGUGUGUGUGUGUGUGUGUGUGUGUGUGUAUAUAUACACACACACACACACACUAUAUAUAUAUAG